GUUCUCCUUUAAGAGGCACACUUAGUAAAACUGGAACAACUCAGAGAAGAUUAACAUGGCUUCUGCCAUAUUAACCCAAAAGAAUGACCCAGAUGUAU
rnacentral:snRNA from 1 species